UUUUUUUUUUUUUCUUUCUUUUUUUUUUGUCUUUUUAGGGCCACACCCACAGCAUGUAGAGGUUCCCAGCCUAGAGGUUGAAUCGGAGCUGUAACUCUGGCCUAUACCACAGCCAAAGCAAUGCUAGAUCCAAGCCUCGUCUGUGACCUACACCACGGCUCAUGGUAACUCUGGAUCCUUAACCCACUGAGCAAAGUCAGGGAUUGAACCUGCAUCCUCAUGGAUACCAGUCAGAUUCGAUUCUGUUGGGCUGUGACAGGAACUUCUCAUGGCAUUCUCUAUGUGGAAUUUCUUCUUGGAGCCCACUAACUUCCUCUUCUAAUUUUGACCGAUUAUUUUCUAGACUUGCUCCACAGCUGUCGUCUUGGCACUUCAUUCUGUUGGAAUCCUGGGGAGCUCACUGGUUUUUCAUAUUCCAAGUCUUCUUUCCUAUAUUUCCAAAAUAUAUACAUAUUUAAGUGGAUUUCCUGGAAGAAUAGUGAAUUGAUGGUUUAAGUUCUUGAAUAUCUAUGAGUAUCUUUGAUUUGGAUUCACAUUUGAUUUUUAAUUUGCCUUUUUUAGAAAUGAGGGUAUAUUAUAAUUUCAUGUAGAAAUUGAAAAUUUUGCUGCACUGUCAUUUAGCAUCUUGGUGAUAGGAAAUCUGAGACCAGAUGAUUUUUGGUUGAUGCUUUAGAAAUUUAAUUUGACUAAGUAAUUAAUUGUAUUUACAGCACAAUUUGGUAAUAACUUCAUUUUAUAGUUAGUCCAUUAAGUCUAUUUAAUUUAUAUGUAAAUUAUAAAUUUUUGAAUUAAAUUUAUGUUCCAUACUUUGGGGUAUAGACAGAGCAUUUAACAAGUCAAAAAUUGAUUUGGUUAAAAAUCAUUUGGAUGGCACUGAAUUUGUUCCUAUGGCAAGUAUUAAGUCGUAUAAAACCUGCUUCCUGACCCAGAGAAGUUAUUGCGACUAUGGUUAUUUUAUAUAAUGUUCAUACUACUUAAAAUUUACUUAUAAGUAUUUAGAGUAAAUAUUGUCCCAUAUUUUUUAAAUUUAAAAGAAAAGCAACUAUUUUUUUCAAAAUAUAUAGUUUUGACAUCUAGAAUAUUAGGGGUGAUAAGAAAACAGAGGAUAACAAAGCUUUUUACAAGAAUCAACUAAAGUAAAAUAUGUCUAUUACUAUAGCAUCAUGGACUAUCUUUUAAAAGGCAUAGGUGGUAGAGCCAAGUAGACAGUGGAUUCAAACAACUCUUUUCUUUGUUGUCUGUGUAAACUUCAAUGGUUAGUUAUUAUUAUUAUUAUAUUUUGUCUUUUGUCUUUUUAGGGCCGCACCCAUGCCUGGGAGCCUUCAUAUGCCACAGGAGUGGCCCAAGAAAUGGCAACAAGACAAAAAAAAAAAAAAUCACCCCUGAUUGAGAACCACUGGUCUAUAUAUAACCUUGCUCUUAUGAUCUACACUUUCUAGAAUGGUGUGUAAGGCAGUUCAGCCCCGUAAAGAACUACUGUACUUGAACCAAUAUCUAAUCAAAAAGUUAACUGAAAUCUAGAAGAUGAUGUAAAAUCAUUCCAUCAAGUUCUAUACCUUCAAGUUCUCUUUCUAGUCAGCCUCAGUGAGUGGCUGAGAAAUUAUUCUAUCAUUCUGUCGUAAUCAAGGCUGAGAACCCUUUCCUGGUUCCAUGCUAAAAAGAAUAUGUUGGAUUCUUACCUUUUUCAGAUGGGAGAACUAUCACAACUUGGCCUUUUUAAUGUCAUCCUUCCACUGCUUCUAUGUAAUUUUGUGCUGAUUGAAUCAUUUUUGUUAGGGAUGAGGAUAGGUAAGCGUGAAGGGAAUGAAAGUGUUAGUAAAUACCAUCAUUUCACAUAUAAAUAAUAGCUAAUAGAGGGCUUCUUUACUUUUACAGGCUAGAUUAGGUUUCAGCAAAUUUUCUCUGUAAAGAGCCAGAUAGUAAAUAUAUAAGGGUUUGUGGGCCAUAUAUUCUCUUCUGCAACUUCUCCACUCUGCUGCUACAGUACAAAGGCAUCUACUGACAAUGUGUAAACAAAAGGACAUGGUUGUAUAGCAGUACAUCUUUAUUUUACCAACAGGUUGCAAUGGAAUUUGGCUUGUGGACCUAAGUUUGCCACCCCCUGUCCUAGAACACCAGAAAUAGCUUUCAUAUUUCUUUGUUCUUAUUUUAUCCCAUUUCUCUCUCCCCUCCAUGGCAAUCACAAUUCAAAUUUGUUUCACCAUGCUCUUGGAUUGGAAGAAUCAAUAUUGUCAAAAUGACUAUACUGCCCAAGGCAAUCUACAGAUUCAGUGCAAUCCCUAUCAAAUUACCAAGGACAUUCUUCACAGAACUAGAGAAAAACAUUUUAAAAUGUGUGUGGAAACACAAAAGACCCUGACUAGCCAAAGCAAUAUUGAGAAAGAAAAUCAGAUAUGAAGGAAUCAGACUCCUUGACUUCAGACUAUACUGCAAAGCUACCAUUAUCAAAAGAGUAAGGUAAUGGCACAAAAACAGACAUACAGAUCAAUGAAACAGGAUAGAAAGCUCAGAAGUAAGCCCAAACACCUAUGGUCAACUAAUUUAUGAAAAAAAAGAGGCAAGAAUAUACAGUGGAAGAAAGAUAGUCUCUUUAAUAAGUGGUACUGUGAAAACUGGACAGCUAUGUGUAAAAGAAUGAAAUUAGAACACUCUUUAACACUAUGCACAAAAAUAAACUCAAAAUGGAUUAAAGAUCUAAAUGUAAAGCCAGAUACUAUAAAACUCCUAGAGGAAAACAUAGAUAGAAUGCUCUUUGACAUAAAUCAUGGCAGCAUCUUGAUUGAUCCACCUCCUAGAAUAAAGACAAUAAAAACAAAAGUAAAGCAAUGAGACCUAAUCAAAAUUAUAAGCUUUUGCACAGCAAAGGGAAAUCAUUAAAAAAACAAAAAGACAGCCCACAGAAUGGGAGAAAAAUUUUGCAAACAAUUCAAUAGGCAAGGGCCUAAUCUCCAAAAUAUAAAAAUAGCUCAUGCAACUCAACAAGGAAACUACAAACAAUGCAAUCGAAAAAUGAGCAGAAGACCUAAAUAGACAUUUCUCCAAAGAACGUAUACAGUUGGUCAGAAGGCACAUAAAAAAAUGCUCAACAUCACUAAUUAUUAGAGAAAUGCAAAUUAAAACUACAGUGAGGUACCACCUCACACUGGUCAGAAUGGCCGUCAUUAACAAAACAAAUAACAAAUUCUGGAGAGGGUGUGGAGAAAAUUUGACUUUCACUCUUGGUGGGAAUGUAAAUUGGUAUAACCACUAUGGAAAAGAGGAUGGAGUUAUCUCAGAAAACUAAAUGUAGAACUAUCAUAUGAUCCACUAAACUCACUCCUGGGCAUAUAUCUGGACAAAACAUUCAUUCAGAAAGAUACAUGCACCCCUGUGUUCAUCACAGCGUUGUUCAUAAUAGCCAAGACACGGAAACCCUAAAUGCCCAUCAACAGAUGAAUGGAUUAAGAUGUGGCACAUAUAUAAAUGUAAUACUACUCAGCCAUAAAAAAGAAGGAAAUGAUGCCAUUUGCAGCAAUAUAGAUGCAACUCGACAUUCUCAGACUAAAUGAAGUAAAUCAGAAAGAAAAAGACAAAUACCAUAUGAUAUCACUUAUAUGCGGAAUCUAAAAUACGACACAAAUGAUCCUAUCUACAAAAAAGAAACAGAUCCUGGGCAUGGAGAGCAGAUUUGUGGUUGCAAGGGGAAAGGGAGAGGGAAUGGGGUGGAUGGGGAAUUUGGGGUUGGUAGAUGCAAAUUGUAACAUUUGGAGUGAAUAAGCAAUGGUGUCCUACUGUACAACACAGGGAGCUCUGUCCAAUCUCUUGGAUUAGAACAUGAUGGAAGAUAGUAUAUAAAAAAAUAAUGCACAUAUAUGUAUAACUGGGUCACUUUGCUGUACAAUAGAAAUUGAAGGAACAUUAUAAAUCAACUAUACUUUAAUAAAUUUAAAAAAUUCUGUUUCUGCUUUCUAUUUAGUUAAAAAUAAAUGUCUAUCAUUCAUUUGCUUUUUAAAACUCAAGUUUUAUGACAAUGUAUAUAUGAUAAAUAUGUUAUUUUCACUUGGUUUUGAGCUUUGUAAAAUUGUACUGUACUCAUAAGGGUUACUGUGAACACAUGGUAAAUUAUGAAAGCAUUUUUAAUAGUUUUUAUUGUUGAAGAUACAAGUUAUUUAGUAGUGAUUGCCUUCCUACAUCUUUGCAUGUGGCUUCUGUUCUUUGAACUUGCUGUUCACUUCAGCUUAAUAUUAAUCCAUUAAGAAAGACUGAAUCAUUUUUAAAUAAGUAUAUUGGAAUAUUGGAAGAAAUAAUAACCAGAAUAUUGGGAUUUUUUUUUUUUUGGUCCUUUGUCUUUAUAGGCCCACACCCAUGGCAUAUGGAGGUUCCCAGGCUAGGGGUCUAAUCGGAGCUGUUGCUGCUGGCCUACACCACAGCUCACGGCAACGCCAGAUCCUUAACCUACUGAGUGAGGCCAGGGAUCGAAUCUGCAACCUCAUGGUUCCUCAUCGGAUUCAUUUCUGCUGUGCCACGAUGGGAACUCCUCUGGGAUGGACAUUUUUUUUUUUUUUUUUUUAGCAUAAGCUAAUAAACUCAUCUCAAAACAGAAUCAAUUAUACAAAAAAGUUCAUCUAUAAUUAGGUAGAGAUGCAAAUUACAUUUUGAUUCUUUUUAUGCUCCCACUUUAUCCCAGUCAUAAGUUAGGUCUUCUUUAACCAUUUCAGUUCAGCAUAAUAAAGUAUAAAUCUAAAGAAUCAUAUAUUACUACAGUACAUUGAAUGAAUUAAGAGUGAAUCCAUAGGUGAUUAUAUUAUUGGAAUUCACUUCACUCACAUAAGGUACUCCUUUAUCAAAAUGGUGAAACAAAGAAAGAAAAAACAUAAAGGAUUGAAUCCUGACUCUUUUUUUUAUUUUUUAUUUUUGUCUCUAGAGUCAUUCAGCUUUUCCUCUUUUACCCAUGUUGCUCUGUUCCCUGGCAGAGAGUUCCUCUGCUUAGAACCAAAUUAAGAUCAUGGGUAGCAGCUGAGGGCCAUUGAAGUUGAUUCUGGGGAAUCUAAAUAUUCAGACAGUAUAAGGUUUAACAAAAACAUAAAUCUAUCACAUGCAUUUAUUGUCAAAAUAUAACAUAUAAUUUCUGUUUAGUUAUAACUCACUGCAAAAAGCCAUACUACCAAUGGCCAAAUAUUAGGCAUUAUAAAAACAAAAGCUUAUAAAUCAAAUGUAAUGGAUUUGGAAAUAUGGGACCACAAUGGAGUGCUAACACUCUCUGAAUGACAACUUUAACUUCUCUAAAUUGGCCUGUAGCCAUAGGGUUAAUAACAGCUCCAUAACUAUGGAUGGGUAAUUUUACAGCCUUUUCACAUUCAGUCUGCAGCAUUUAAUGUGAUUUUUGUUUUAGGGCUCUGAUCUCCUGGCUGUGAAUAAGUAAUGUGAAUGCAUAAAUAAAUUUUAUCAAAAGUAAAAAUAGCAUGUGGCAAAUUGGAAGAUUCACUGAGGAAGGGUUGAGGGGGGUCAUACAGAUUGUUAAUGAUUCUAAAAACAAUUUUCAUUCAGCUAAUUCACUCCUUGAUUUACUGUUUUCCAAGAGAGCUCAAUGUGUAUCACUUCUUAAGAUUUGCUUUUCUAAAAUAUUAGUCUUAGAAGAAGAAAGAGAGAUAAUUUAUCUCCUUGGUCUAAUUCUGAAAUAUAUCCAAGCUAACUCAGAGACAAAGAGAAAUUUUGCUAGGGCUCUUUAAGAAAAAAAAAAAAA
rnacentral:lncRNA from 1 species